CCCCCCUCCCCAUCUCCCCAGUCGACCUGGACCUGGAUGAGUCCCACGUCUGAGAAGCGUCCCUGUAACGUUUCAGUAACGUUUUGUUAACAUUUCAGUAACAAAACUCGUAACGUAACGUUAUAACUAGGGCCAGGAGUUUUUUCCUUGACUGACCUUGUCGUGACCGCACUAGGAAAAAGUCCUGGCCCUAGUUACAAGGCUCUAAACUACAGACGUAGGCUAUAACUAGGGCCCGGAGUUUUGACCCUUUAGGUUAGAUCACACGGUCCGGCUGGGGAAACUCCUGGCCCUAGUUAUGACCCUGGCAGGGUAGCUUCUCUGUGUCGGUCCCCUUCUAUAUCUUUGGAGUCUGUUUAGACAUUGAGCUGCCUGAUAACUCUGUAUCCUUCUAGCUAACGGAGGUCAGAGGGCGUUUGAAAGAUGAGGAACCUGUUGGAAUACUCUAAAAAUAAAAAUGCAUCCUCCCUUCCUUGAUCUGAUCUGACAUAAAAUGACUGGUGAAAUCAGUGCAGUAGAAUCCUUGCUCUCACCUAUCCAAUCACGUUAGAUUAGUGAUUACCUCAAGAAAAGAAGGGAGGAAGAUGCAUCUUUAGAGUAUUAGAACAGGGCCGAGGACCAAUACCUGUUAGUUUUCUCCUCUUUCCCACUCCCCUGCCCCUCUCUCCCCUUCUCUCUCUGCUCUCUUCUGUCCUGUUAGAGCACCAAGAUGAAAUCCAUACUUCACUACAUCUACAGUACCAGUGCCAGUACAUCCUCACCUCUGACAUUUUAACCCAUCUCAUACCAAAGUAUUCAUAUCAAAUGCAGAAUCAACAUUCGUUCUUCACACGUCAGGGUGGAUUAAUCCAUGGUGUCCAACAGGUGAUCAAGUGGGACUGUUACUGUUGCUAGGUAGAUCACAUUCUAUUUGUUGUGGUCUAUUGACAAGAGAAGGGAGAUGUUUCCAGCCAGUGGCUGCUACAAACAGACAUCCGUUUACCUAUAGGUUUACCUUGUCACCUCCCAAGAACUGUUUACAGUGAAGCUGCUGAAGGGUAAACUGUUGACUAGAGAAAUGAAAUGUAUAUUAGCUAUGAUAUUAUAUAAUAUUAUGAAAUGUAUUAUAUUUAACCCUGAAGACUAUUUUAAAGAAAGAUUUAAUAUAUAUAAUUGUAAAAGUAUUGCAGAGAGGCAUAGUAUGUUUGUCAUUAGGAUAAUAUAUUAGUGGCCUCCCAGGUGGCACUGCGGUCUAGGGCACUGCAUUGCAGUGCUUGAGGCGUCACUACAGACCCGGGUUCGAUCCCAGGCUCUGUCACAACCGGCCGUGACCGGGAGUCCCAUAGGGCGGCGCACAAUUGGCCCAGCGUGGUCUGGGUUAGGGGAGGGUUUGGCCAGGGGGGCUUUACUUGGCUCAUUGCGCUCUAGUGACUCCUUGUGGUGGGCCUGGCACCUGCAGGCUGACAACAGAUGUCAGUUGUCCGGUGUUUCCUCUGACACAUUGGUGCAUCUGGCUUCCGGGUUAAGUGGGUGGGUGUUAAGGAGUGCGGUUUGGCUGCUAAUGUUUCAGAGGAUGCAUGACUCGACCUUUGCCUUUUUUUGGCAAGAAAAAGGGGGGUAAACCGGAAUGUUUAUUUAUUAACAGAUUAUUUAUAUUUAAUAUUUAUAAAAUAUUUAUCCUCUUGGGGUUUCUAGGUUUGAUUUAUUGACAAUUGACACACUGAGUGGUUGUUAUUUUCCUGUGAGAAGAGGUUCUUUAUGGAGGUUGAGUCUGUAGAUGAGAAGAGGCUCUUUAUGGAGGUUGAGUCUGUUAGAUGAGAAGAGGCUCUUUAUGGAGGUUGAGUCUGUAGAUGAGAAGAGGUUCUUUAUGGAGGUUGAGUCUGUAGAUGAGAAGAGGUUCUUUAUGGAGGUUGAGUCUGUAGAUGAGAAGAGGUUCAUUAUGGAGGUUGAGUCUUUAGAUGAGAAGAGGUUCUUUAUGGAGGUUGAGUCUGUAGAUGAGAAGAGGUUCUUUAUGGAGGUUGAGUCUGUUAGAUGAGAAGAGGUUCUUUAUGGAGGUUGAGUCUGUUAGAUGAGAAGAGGCUCUUUAUGGAGGUUGAGUCUGUAGAUGAGAAGAGGUUCUUUAUGGAGGUUGAGUCUGUAGAUGAGAAGAGGUUCUUUAUGGAGGUUGAGUCUGUUAGAUGAGAAGAGGUUCUUUAUGGAGGUUGAGUCUGUUAGAUGAGAAGAGGUUCUUUAUGGAGGUUGAGUCUGUUAGAUGAGAAGAGGUUCUUUAUGGAGGUUGAGUCUGUUAGAUGAGAAGAGGCUCUUUAUGGAGGUUGAGUCUGUAGAUGAGAAGAGGCUCUUUAUGGAGGUUGAGUCUGUUAGAUGAGAAGAGUCCAAAGCGCUAUAAGUGGGGCAGGUCAUACUUGGAAGCCAAUCCUAACAUCAACUGAAGUAAAAUUAGGGUCUCCGUAUAGCUGAGGUUCAGCAUUGUAGCACGCUUGAAAUGUGAAGGUAGUUUCAGAUUGAGCCGACAUAAGCAGCGUUUGCUGUGAAUGCAGUCUCCGCUAACGUGGGAACGUUGCCUUUAAAUGUCAAACAGGCUACAACACAGAACUUCUGCGAUACGGAUCGAGUCCAGCCCUUAGUCGUGCAUUGAUGCCAAUGGGAAACUAUGUGGACACUUUGUAAAGUUAGGUUUCGCCCCUUCGAGGGUAAUGGUCUUGUUCUAGUAUGAUGAAUGUAAAACUAUCAUACCACAACUAACUGCUCACUGGGCACAGACGUCACUUCAACGGUUAAAAGUAGGGUAAAAAUAUGUUGAUUCAAUGUCAUCACAUUGAUUAUUUUGGUUGAAAUGACGUGGAAACAAUGUUGAUACAACCAGUUUUGACCCAGUGAAUGGAUGUUGUUUUAUGUGUAACCAAAUCCAUGUUUCGUUUUGAAUAGCCUCCAAAGUAAUACUGACCUUCUGUUGUACUGAAAGCAUCAUGCAUAAAGAAUAGGUAACUGGUUAUGGGCACUGAAGUAUUAUUAGUAUGUCCCAGUAAUGUCAUAGAGUUUAUAAUGCUGCUUUUUAUUGUUGUGUUUUCAAUGUCUUGAAGAAAGGUUUCUAGUACUCAACAUUAUGGCAACAAGAUCCCUGAUUCUGAGUUGUAGCAGUUAGGAUACCUCCUUGUUCAACUUAUGCCUUAAACUAGAGAACUGGGAGGACCCCUCCAGCUCCUUGAUAAUGGUCUGUUCCCUGACUGAGGUCCCCUUAUGUGCCAUGGGGCUUGGUAGAGUCCAAACCUGAGAUGGGUGUGCUGCAGUCUACUAUCUUCUGGUUAAUGGUUUUUUUGCACCAGAUCAGUGGAAAGAGGAUGUAGUUAUGAACUAUACUGUAUAAAAACAUUAGGAACAACUUCCUAAUAUUGAGUUUCACCCCCCUUUUCCCUCAAAACAGCUUCAAUUCGUCGAGGCAUGGACUCUGAAAGUUCACGAAAGCGUUCCACAGGGAUGCUGGCCCCUGUUGACUCCAAUGCUUCCCACAGUUGUAUCAAGUUGCCUGGAUGUCCUUUGGGUGGUGGACCAUUCUUGAUACACAUAGGAAACUGUUGGGCGUGAAAACCCCAGAAACGUUGCAGUUCUUGACACAAACCGGUACGCCUGGCACCUACUACCAUAUCCCCUUGAAAGGCACUUAAAUCAUUAGUCUUGCCCAUUUACCCUCUGAAUGGCACACAUACACAAUCCAUGUCUCAAUUGUCUCAAGGCUUAAAAAUCAUUCUUUAACCUGUCUCCUCCCCUUCAUCCACACUGACUGAAGUGGAUUUAUGAGGGAUCAUAGCUUUCACCUGGAUUCACCUGGUCAGUCUAUGUCAUGGAAAGAGCAGGUGUUCCUAAUGGUUUGUACACUCAGUUAUAUGUGAAAGGAAGAACUGGGCUUGUCCUGAAUAUCUUCUACCAUUUCCUCCUGUUUGACGGCAUCAGUGCAGAAGCGUUAGUAGUGAUAUGAAUAGGUGCCAUAAUGCACAUAUGACCAUUGCACUGUGAGUCGGUCUCAUAGCUGUGUCUGCUUCUGUGUGUGAUCUAAAUGUACUGCUGUGUAGCUCCCACAGAGGAGGCUGGUUAUCAGAUCUAUAGUGCCCAUAUCGUUAGAGGGGUUAUCAGAUCUAUAGUGCCCAUAUCGUUAGAGGGGUUAUCAGGUCUAUAGUGCCCAUAUCAUUAGAGGGGUUAUCAGAUCUAUAGUGCCCAUAUCGUUAGAGGGGUUAUCAGAUCUAUAGUACCCAUAUCGUUAGAGGGGUUAUCAGAUCUAUAGUGCCCAUAUCGUUAGAGGGGUUAUCAGGUCUAUAGUGCCCAUAUCGUUAGAGGGGUUAUCAGGUCUAUAGUGCCCAUAUCGUUAGAGGGGUUAUCAGGUCUAUAGUGCCCAUAUCGUUAGAGGGGUUAUCAGAUCUAUAGUGCCCAUAUCGUUAGAGGGGUUAUCAGGUCUAUAGUGCCCAUAUCGUUAGAGGGGUUAUCAGGUCUAUAGUGCCCAUAUCGUUACAGGGGUUAUCAGGUCUAUAGUACCCAUAUCGUUAGAGGGGUUAUCAGGUCUAUAGUACCCAUAUCGUUAGAGGGGUUAUCAGGUCUAUAGUGCCCAUAUCGUUAGAGGGGUUAUCAGGUCUAUAGUACCCAUAUCGCUAGAGGGGUUAUCAGGUCUAUAGUACCCAUAUCGUUAGAGGGGUUAUCAGAUCUAUAGUGCCCAUAUCGUUAGAGGGGUUAUCAGGUCUAUAGUGCCCAUAUCGUUAGAGGGGUUAUCAGAUCUAUAGUGCCCAUAUCGUUAGAGGGGUUAUCAGAUCUAUAGUACCCAUAUCGUUAGAGGGGUUAUCAGGUCUAUAGUGCCCAUAUCGUUAGAGGGGUUAUCAGAUCUAUAGUGCCCAUAUCGCUAGAGGGGUUAUCAGAUCUAUAGUGCCCAUAUCGUUAGAGGGGUUAUCAGAUCUAUAGUGCCCAUAUCGUUAGAGGGGUUAUCAGGUCUAUAGUGCCCAUAUCGUUAGAGGGGUUAUCAGAUCUAUAGUGCCCAUAUCGUUAGAGGGGUUAUCAGAUCUAUAGUGCCCAUAUCGUUAGAGGGGUUAUCAGAUCUAUAGUGCCCAUAUCGUUAGAGGGGUUAUCAGAUCUAUAGUGCCCAUAUCGUUAGAGGGGUUAUCAGGUCUAUAGUGCCCAUAUCGUUAGAGGGGUUAUCAGAUCUAUAGUGCCCAUAUCGUUAGAGGGGUUAUCAGAUCUAUAGUGCCCAUAUCGUUAGAGGGGUUAUCGGAUCUAUAGUGCCCAUAUCGUUAGAGGGGAUUCUAUUUCUAUGAUAGUAUCACUAUAGUUCAUUUUAGAACCCACGGGGGAUAGUACGAAAGUAUAUUAUAAAGUAUAAGCCAAUUAUACUGUAGGCGACAUAUUCGGGUGUCCCUGUGGAUGUGUGUUGUCUUGUCAGUGCUAACGGUCAGUGUCUGUCCGUGUGUGUAGUGCCAAUGUUCUCUGCUGCUGAGCUGUCCUUGUGCAGAUGCUUUCUGGGAGGUUGGCAUGGAGACUUAUUCAUCAAACUUGCCAUACAUUCCAAAGUCAUCUGCAUUCUGCAGUUUGUCCCAUGUAAUGCACUGUUGAAGUGCCCUAAUUCAAACUGGAACUGUUUUGGAUGAGAGAUCUAUUUAGGAUUGCAAAAUGUCUAACUUUUCCAAAAUAACCAGGUUUUCCAGAAAUCUUGUUUGGAGGAUUCCGGAUUUCUUGUUUAUUACUUUCUGAUCCCUUGACUCUUCCAACUAGUAUAUGAGGAGUUUGAGGAAAGUGACCAGAAUAUGGAGACCCUAGUUGUAUUGCAUUGUCAGUUGCAAUUUGUAGUACCGGUAGCACACUGUAUUGCUUUAAACAUAAUCAGAAAAUGAUCACCAACUCAUAGCUAACUCGUGCCUAACAUUCUGUGGCUAAUUUGUUCAUUGAUGAUGUUCGUCGCAAUGAAAUAUGUUUGUAGUUUGUUUAGUUUAGUUCUAUUUCUUACAUGUUAUGGAGGAUAGCUGGAUCUGUGUUGUUCUGGCUCUGGGAAUAACCUUUCUGUAAACUAGGAAGUUUACCUCAAAGUCCUAUCCACAUGCUAGGGGCGGCAGCUAGCCUAGUGGUUAGAGUGUUGGACUAGUAACUGAAAGGUUGCAAGAUCGAAUCCCCGAGCUGACAAGGUAAAAGAAAAAGCUGUCGUUCUGCCCCUGAACAAGGCAGUUAACCCAAUGUUCCUGUGCCGUCAUUGAAAAUAAGAAUUUGUUCUUAACUGACUUGCCUCGUUAAAUAAAGAUAAAAUGCUGUUUGGUGGAGCUGUGAGAUAUUCAGAAGUGUGUGUCAAAUGCAGGGGCCCCCAGGGGUGGAAAGCAGUGGAGGCUGGUGGCUGGAGCUAUAGGAAGUCAGGCUCAUUGUAAUGGCUGGAAUGGAACAAUGUUUGACUCUGUUCCAUUCCAGCUAUUGUCCUCCUAUAGCUCCUCCCACCAGACUCCUCAGAUACAUAUAUUAUAUUUUAUUUCUCCAAAUAUAUAUUAACAUCAGCAUUUGUUCACGUGAAGAUUAGCCUCAUAUUCAAUCAUUGUUCCAUCGACAUAUAUUUUUUUCUUCUGUGUGACUCUGAAAUAUAUCGUAUUAUAUACACUUAAGAUAUUUAUUUCAAAUGAUUGUCUUGUCCUGUGUUCUCAAUCUAUUCUAAAAUAUAGCUAUAUCAAAGUAUUUAUGAAAUAUUUAAAGAAUAAAUUGAUAUUAUUGUAUACAAUGUUA